rnacentral:rRNA from 1 species
UCCGCAGGCGAACAGAAUAGCAUGCAGUCGAGGGGUAGAGGGUGCUUGCAUCCUUGAGACCGGCGCACGGGUGCGUAACGCGUAUGCAACCUGCCUUCCACAGGGGAAUUCCCAGAGAAAUUUGGAUUAAUGCCCCAUGGCACAUCUAGACGGCUUCGUCUUGGUGUUAAAGUAACAACGGUGGAAGAUGGGCAUGCCUCCCAUUAGCUACUUGGUAAGGUAACGGCUUACCAAGGCUAUGAUGGGUAGGGGUCCUGACAGGGAGAUCCCCCACACUGGUACUGACACACGGACCAGACUCCUACGGGAGGCAGCAGUGAGGAAUAUUGGUCAAUGGUCGCAAGACUGAACCAGCCAUGCCGCGUGCAGGAUGACGGUCCUAUGGAUUGUAAACUGCUUUUGUACGGGAAGAAACACUCCUACGUGUAGGGGCUUGACGGUACCGUAAGAAUAAGGAUCGGCUAACUCCCUGCCAGCAGCCGCGGUAAUACGCGAGGAUCCGAGCGUUGUCCGGAAUCAUUGGGUUUAAAGGGUCCGUAGGCGGCCCUGUAGGUCACCGGUGAAAUCUCCCGGCUCAACCGGGAAACUGCCGUUGAUACUGCAUGGCUUGAAUUGCCGAGAAGUAACUAUAAUAUGUAGUGUAUCGGUGAAAUGCUUAGAUAUUACAUGGAAUACCGAUUGCGAACGCACGUUACUACCGGCGUAUUGACUCUGAUGGACGAAAGCGUGGGGAGCGAACACGAUUAGAUACCCUGUUAGUCCACGCCCUAAACGAUGGAUACUACCUGUCCGGCACAAGCUGCGUGGCUAACGAAAGUGAUAAUAUCCCACCUGGCGAGUACGAACGCAGUUUGAAACUCAAUGAAUUGACGGGGCCGCACAGCGGUGGAGCAUGUGCUUUAGUCGAUGAUACACGAGUAUCCUUACAUGGCUUAGAAUGUAGCCGACAUGCCCGGAACGGGCUUUUCUUCUGACGCUAACAGGUGCUGCAUGCUGUCAGUCAGCUCAUGCCUCGACGUGAUCGUUAGAUCUAUUACGAGCGUCAACACCUGACGGCUAGUGCAGCAGUAUGUCGGGACGUCUACCGAAACUGCCAAU